rnacentral:rRNA from 2 species
GCUUGCACCUGAUUGAUUUUGGUCGCCAACGAGUGGCGGACGGGUGAGUAACACGUAGGUAACCUGCCCAGAAGCGGGGGACAACAUUUGGAAACAGAUGCUAAUACCGCAUAACAGCGUUGUUCGCAUGAACAACGCUUAAAAGAUGGCUUCUCGCUAUCACUUCUGGAUGGACCUGCGGUGCAUUAGCUUGUUGGUGGGGUAACGGCCUACCAAGGCGAUGAUGCAUAGCCGAGUUGAGAGACUGAUCGGCCACAAUGGGACUGAGACACGGCCCAUACUCCUACGGGAGGCAGCAGUAGGGAAUCUUCCACAAUGGGCGCAAGCCUGAUGGAGCAACACCGCGUGAGUGAAGAAGGGUUUCGGCUCGUAAAGCUCUGUUGUUAAAGAAGAACACGUAUGAGAGUAACUGUUCAUACGUUGACGGUAUUUAACCAGAAAGUCACGGCUAACUACGUGCCAGCAGCCGCGGUAAUACGUAGGUGGCAAGCGUUAUCCGGAUUUAUUGGGCGUAAAGAGAGUGCAGGCGGUUUUCUAAGUCUGAUGUGAAAGCCUUCGGCUUAACCGGAGAAGUGCAUCGGAAACUGGAUAACUUGAGUGCAGAAGAGGGUAGUGGAACUCCAUGUGUAGCGGUGGAAUGCGUAGAUAUAUGGAAGAACACCAGUGGCGAAGGCGGCUACCUGGUCUGCAACUGACGCUGAGACUCGAAAGCAUGGGUAGC